rnacentral:rRNA from 1 species
UUAUCGGAGAGUUUGAUCCUGGCUCAGGACGAACGCUGGCGGCGUGCCUAAUACAUGCAAGUCGAGCGGACAGAUGGGAGCUUGCUCCCUGAUGUUAGCGGCGGACGGGUGAGUAACACGUGGGUAACCUGCCUGUAAGACUGGGAUAACUCCGGGAAACCGGGGCUAAUACCGGAUGCUUGUUUGAACCGCAUGGUUCAAACAUAAAAGGUGGCUUCGGCUACCACUUACAGAUGGACCCGCGGCGCAUUAGCUAGUUGGUGAGGUAAUGGCUCACCAAGGCGACGAUGCGUAGCCGACCUGAGAGGGUGAUCGGCCACACUGGGACUGAGACACGGCCCAGACUCCUACGGGAGGCAGCAGUAGGGAAUCUUCCGCAAUGGACGAAAGUCUGACGGAGCAACGCCGCGUGAGUGAUGAAGGUUUUCGGAUCGUAAAGCUCUGUUGUUAGGGAAGAACAAGUACCGUUCGAAUAGGGCGGUACCUUGACGGUACCUAACCAGAAAGCCACGGCUAACUACGUGCCAGCAGCCGCGGUAAUACGUAGGUGGCAAGCGUUGUCCGGAAUUAUUGGGCGUAAAGGGCUCGCAGG